rnacentral:lncRNA from 1 species
GGCUCAUCAGCUGCGGCCCAAGCAGUAGUCGUUCUGUAUACUUCUGUGCCUUUUUCGGGUGUCAUGUGCAUUGUAAUGUGAUCCAUCAGUACAACGACAGAGUCCAUGCUGGCUGCUUCGUCACGAAAAAAACGAACAGAUACAUCCAGAACUGUACAGAUCUAUGGAAAAGAAAACUACUGGGAGCAGACGGCUGGGAUGAUUGAUAUGCCACUAGCUCCAGAAAUGAGCCACUAGCUCCAGAAACUACUGGGAGCAUACGGCUGGGAGGAAGAGCACGAUGUGAGCAUCCGGCGCCGGCGUGUUCGCCGCAAGCGCGCGGCGGACAGCGCUUCCAAGCUGCGCCGCAGUCGUCGUCUGGCGGCCAAGGAGAUCCCGUUCUACAUCGACGCCACCACCAAGGCGACUCGCGUCAAGGAAGCUCAGCUGGACCUGGCCAAAGCGUCCGAGCGCAUGAAGGCAGCAAUUGAAGCGUCCGGGGUGCUGGAGCGCCCCCCACCAGAGAAGAUCUCCUCGUCCAAGCUGCGCUGCCUGGAGCGCGUCUGUGGCCUUGCUCACCUCUCUGAGGUCGAGGAUGAGGUGUCGUACCCCGUCUGAUGUUAGCCUUUAGCUUGUGGUAUGUGUUUGCUUUGCGAGCUAGCCUGUUUCUCGCAAGAGCUAGCUUCUCUCCCUCUGUCUGUUCGGGAGAUGUAUCUCUCUAAGUUAGUUUGUGUGAGUGCUUUGCGAAGGGAGUUCCUCGCAAAAGCUUUUCUCCCUGCAUGUUUUAGGGAGCUUCGUGAGUCGUUGUGGUUUGUGCCCCGGUUUAGAGGUGGCCGGUGUAAUUUGUACACACUCAUGUGCGUGUUGUCUUCAAUGUUAAGUUUGUUUCGUGAUUUGGUGUUCUGCUUGUUCUCAUGUUAACUCGCUCACUUUCUUUCUGAUCAACUUCGUGCUUACGAUUUUGAUGGCUUAAGAUUUUGAUGGCUUGAGAUUUUGAUGGCUUGGGAUGCAACUUCGUGCUUGCUGCUCAGCUCCUCUGAUCGAGCUUACUCUCUUACAGCUAAUUUCUCCCUCAACUCUGACGGCAGCCUUUUCACGCUUACGAAUGUUUAUGCCCCCACGGCUCAUGAAGAUAAAGAUGCUUUUCUUAAGGAACUCGAGGAUGUUGCUCAAUCAGUCUCCGGCCCUUGGAUCAUAAUUGGUGAUUUCAACCUCACACGUGAGCCUGCUGAUAAAAAUAGUGACUCGUUUAACUCAGGAGAAGCGCAAUUGUUCAAUGAUACAAUUAACUGCCUAGCUCUAAUUGAGAUUCCGCUGGUUGACAGAGCCUACACUUAGUGCGACUAGAUAGGUGUUUCGUUAACAUCCAGUGGGAGUCCACUUUUCCAAACACGGCCCUAUCCUCCUUGACACGUUUUGCCUCUGAUCAUGUCCCUCUCCUCCUUUCGGUUUGUACCAGCAUUCCAAAGAGCUCGUUGUUUCCGGUUUGAAAAUGCCUGGUUACAACACCCAGCCUUCAAGGAAAUGAUGAGAUCGACAAUUGACACUCCGGUCAGAGGAUCGACCAGCAAGGCUUUUGUCAAACGCUUGAAGAAUUGCAGACACGCUUACCGCUCCUGGUCCAAGCGCCUUCACCCUAGAGAGCAACGUGAAAACGACACCAAUAUUCUCAUCAAAGCCCUUGACCUACUAGAAGAGGAACGCGCUCUCUCCUCUGCUGAAUCUACUCUUCGUCGCUGAGCCAUCCAGGGCCUCCAAUCCAUUCACUCCAAAAAAGCUAGCCUUUUGGCGCUAGCGUUUCAACAUGAGGAUGGCCGUGGAGUGGGAUGAAAAUUCUCGGUUCUUUCAUGCAGCCGCUAAUGGGCGCCGUCGGAAGAACGCUAUCCCCUGCUUGGAACACGAUGGCAACAUCCUGCAAUCUCAUGAAGCUAAGAGUACAGUGCUUUUCGACUUCUACGAUGAACUGUUGGGGUCUGAAUUCCCAACGUCUUGGAACUUCGACCUACAGGAGCUCUACCCACACUUGUCUGUAGAUGGGCUCAAUCUCUCCGUUUCUUUCUCAACUGAAGAGAUCUUGUAGGCCUUGUUUGCCAUGGAUAUGCACUCUAGUCCUGGGCUGGACGGCUUUGGCCCAUAUUCAAACAAAGCUUUCUGGGCCAACCUCAGGCAGCCAUUAGUGGAUCUUUUCUCUGGAGUCCACUCGAGCCUUGCUGACCUCGACGGUCUCAACAGUGCUCAUCUUGUUCUUCUUCCUAAGCAUGAAGGUGUCAGGAAAGCUGAUGGAUUCAGGCCUAUUCUGCUGCAGAACUGCCCAAUGAAAUUAUUUUCCAAGGUUCUGGCGAAUCGGCUCAGAGCAGCCAUCCCAUCUAUCAUUGACGCAGAUCUGACUGGCUUUGUGCAUGGCCGGAACAUAGCAGAAAAUUUCAUCUAUGCUGCUGAUCUUUUGAGCUGCUGCCACAAAAGGAAUGUCCCCACUGCAGUGCUCAAGCUGGACUUUAAGAAGGCGUUCGACUCGGUCGCCAGGGGUUUUGACAUUCGCUGGCGUAGUUGGAUCAGCGAAAUUCUAUCGACAGGCAAAACGGCAGUGAUGCUCAACGGUGUUCCCGGACGCUGGAUUAACUGUAAACGGGGGCUGCGCCAAGAAGAUCCCAUCUCUCCUUACCUGUUUAUCAUUGUCGCUGAUGUCCUCCAACAUCUCGUCCAAAGAGCGUCGAGGUCUGGCAUUUUGGAGCAUCCUAUCGAUAAUGCACUCCCUUGUCCAGUGCUCCAAUACGCUGAUGAUACUCUGAUUCUUGUUCGAGGGAAUGUGCCGUCCAUGAUUUCCCUUAAAUCCAUCCUGGACUCCUUUUCUAUGGCGACGGGCCUCACUAUCAAUUUCCACAAAUCCGCCUUCGUUCCCAUGAACGUCCAUGCCGAGACAGCUGGUCAGAUGGCUAGUAUUCUAGGCUGUCAGAUUGCCAGCUUCCCCCAAACCUACUUGGGGCUUCCACUCUCGCUGCACAAACUUAGACCCUGUGACUACCGGCCCCUUGUGUGCAGCUUUGAUCGCUACCUUGCUGGAUGGAAGGCUCGUCUUCUCAGCACUGGAGGGCGCUUGAUCUUGGUUAAUGCGGUCCUAAGCAGUCUGCCUGUCUAUUUCAUGUCCUCCACUUUGCUGCCAAAAACGAUCAUUGAAGCUUUGGAUGUGUGCCGGAGAGCUUUCCUCUGGACUGGGGGAGAAAAGCGCCAUGGUUCACAAUGUCUUGUGGCCUGGGAGAAGGUGUGUCAAAGCAAAGAGAACGGUGGUCUCGGGGUUCGGAACAUUGAGCAACAAAACCACUACCUCCUGAUGAAAUUUGUUCACAAGCUUCAUGAUCCACAAUCUUGGCCUUGGAAAACUUGGUUCCUAAGUCAAGAUCUGGGAGGAUUCACUACUGACUCCUUCAUUGCAUGACUGAUCCAAGGGGAAAUUCAGCGUUACCGCUCACUGACCUCCUCCCGCAUGGGUAACGACAAAACUACCGCCUUUUGGCACGAUCACUGGCUCCUCGGAUCGACUUUGGAAGAAACUUUCCCGGCGCUCUACUCGCACUCUAUCCGGCAGAACAUCUCCGUCUCAGACGCCAUGCUUUCUCCGUUGGACGAACAGCUACGACCACGUCUCACCAACUGCGCUCAAGAGGGUAAACGGAUGCUCCAAGACUGCCUGCUUCAAGUAGCCCUCUCUGACCAUCCGGACAUACACUCUCUGAUCAACUCCCUCUAGUGUGGAGCCACCAUGCUAUAUCCAUCCUUGACAAAAGUACCGAGGACACAUAUAGGUGGCGUCCUGGUACCAUUCAGUAAUAGUUCCAUUAACAAAGCUAUUACUUCCUCGAUCAUGAAGCCUCACGACAAAUAUAAUCUCUUAUAUGGCUAGAUGAUUACUAGGUUUCAGAGUAAGGAUGACAUUUGAAAUUAUGUUCUUUAGUAUGGAGGUGUUUGUAUUACACUCAACAUCUUAUACUUUGCAGGUAGGUUAUGACGGAUUCCUAUAGGGGGACUCAUGCCCCCCUCCCUCACGUUGUCAGACAUGCAAUCCUAGCAACCUAGUUCCUUCUUUUGGUCCGCAUAAGCAUUCCAAGAUUUUCCUUUUGUUUUUAAUUCAUCCGUACCUUUUCUAAUUUUAUUUAUCAUAGCGACGAAUACAGCACUGCAAGUGAUUAAUUAGUGGAUAUAAACUAUACUAUGAGAAAUUAUGUUGUUGAGAGAAUUGUUAUUUACAUAUGAUUGAAAUUUUUAGCUAUGUCGGUUCAUGCACAACUGUUGUUGGUUGGAGAUCAGAUGCACCUUGGCUACAAUUGUUCAUCGUCCUCAACCACCACCAGAUACAGAACUCUGUUGUCCUUCCUUCUAGAUAGGUGGAGACUGGAUACUGGGAGAAGACACGACGUUUGGGACGGCGACGGACCGGCCAGCAGGACACCACAACACAAGUGACCCAGCUAAAUGGGCUUGGGCUGUUCGUGUGAGUGCGAGAAUUACCUGGCCCUUUGAUCAGUCUUGAGUUUCUUCUGAUUGAUGGAGAUGGAGGGCAGGGCCUGAGUGAUGAACAACACCCAUAUACCUUGAGAGACUGCAUGUCUAUUCGCAUUUAUAUUACUGCCAAAUGAUCAUUCACUACCUGAAAUGAUAUAUUCUCUUGGAGGGUGACAGGAAAAAAAAUCUAUCUGUUCCUACCGCCAGGGAUACUCAAUUCUCUUAUAGAAUAACACCUACAGGAAUAUUAUAUAUAUCUUUGACGGGAAACCGACAGCGAACUUAGAAAUUUCCUUGACGGAGAAUCCUACAGGGUAAUGGUGUGUUUGGUUUGACCUCAUCCUAGAUGAGAUUGUCCAUCAUGAGUUGAUCCUAUAAGAUUUAUUGGGAUGAUCCUAUUCUUUAUGGUUAUACUAUUUAUUAGUUUGUGUGGGAUGAGGUGUUGAGGGAUCAACUAAUUACAUUCCACGAACCAAACAAAAAAAUUGAGAAGUGAGAAGAUGAGGCAUGACUUCAUUCCUCAAACCGAACACCCCAUAAAUUAUCCUGACAGUUUUUCGAUGGAUUUCUAAAAUGAUGGAUACAAAUUUUCCUAUGCAUAAACCGUCAGAAAAAUACCGACAGAAAAAUUAUUUCUGUCGGGAAACCGACAAGCAAUAUAAUUUAAAUUUCUCUGCCAUUCUAUCCCUGUCGGUAUUUGCCAUUUCGACGUAAAUAUUUUUCUGACUUUUUCCAUAUAUUCCUGUCGGUUUUUGUGGCACAUAGGAAAAUUUACGUCAGUGACCGCACGACAAGCAAGCUGGCAAUAGAUAAGAUGCGUACAGCACAGCUCGAUGGACAAUGCGUGUUUAACAGUAAUAAGGACAGGCUUGCUGUACAUGCACGAUUAUCAGCGGGAAACAGCAGAACGCUACUCGUUUCUUGUUUGCCACUAUAUACCAUUGUCGGACUGCGCAGUGCAGUGCAGUCCGUCGCCUGCUUCUGUCCUGCACGCAGGACGACGUAACGUAGGAUCGACGGGUGUGAUGGAUCGAUCCGUCAUGUUUCCCGCUGCCGCGACUCGUUAACGCAGCGACGGCAGACAGACCGACCGACCGACCGGCGUCGAUUAUCAUUGCCGGCCAUGUCAAUAAUGUCAUUUCCGGCAAGCAAGCAAGCAAGCAUGUCGAUCUGCUUCAUUCGCUGCUGCCGGUAGCCACAGUCAAGAUUCUGCAUGCUUUUUUCGAUCUAUAUUCGAUCAUAUCAUCCCCUUUGUCCAUUUUACUCAUAUGAGAUGAUGCUCCUGUAUGGAGUAUCGUCUAGUGCUCUCCCCAAUUCGUUUAUCAUCUGCUGGUUGGAUACGCAUGCACGAAUAUAAUGCAUGAUCACAUGCGUGGUGUCUCUGUGAAACCUGGAAUAACCCGGACAAGAAAUGGAAUGGACAUCACCAUGAUCAUAUUGUGGCGGAAUGCAAGACCACUUGCUUGACUCGAUGGAGGAUUGCUCAUUUCGGCAGCAACCGUACCGAUGGCUCCUAUGUAGUAGCACCAAGCAUCAAUGCAUCAUGACUUUGGUUUCGAUCAGAUAGCAAUGAAAUACAACGUAGCCCACAGUGUUGCUAGCCUCGUAAUCUUAGAUCAUCAUCAGAUCGCACGAGCUGAUCUGAUCGAUAUUCUUGUGAUGAUAGAUGCUGUAUCUGAAUGGCCCAACCACUGUUAUCACUGACGCCUGGUCCCCAGAAACAUACUGCACGUUGAAUUAUUGUGGUCUGAAUUCUGAUGAUGAGCUACCCAGUAUGGGCCUUGGCAGUGGUAAGCCAGGAGGAACAGAUUCUGAACCCACAAGCAAUCAGACAGCCUGCUGGGUCACUGGGUCAGGUUCCAUACCAUCCAAGCAUCUAACCUAGUACCCUUUUUUCUGUUGCAGAUACGGCAAGUGCACUGUGCUUCCUGUGAUUGUCCAUCUGUCACGCCACCAACACGCGUGCGUGCAUGGGCUGCUGCAGGCCUCUAACAGUAACAGUACAGAGACGUGACUCGGUGGGGGCACCUCGGUCGUAUCGUGCCCUGUGGCUCAGAUCGACCCAACUCCCAUGCACGUCCCGUCUCAGCCGUCACUUCAUUCGAUCUCCUCGCGAUCUCUUCCGGUCUUCCCAUCCAUCGAUGCGUCCCAGAUCCAUCGAUCGAUGGAUGAACACCUCCUCGAUCGUUGCUCGUACACGGUGCUGUGCCCACUGUUCUCUUCCAUUUAGCUUGCUGUCGACCGAUGAACGGAUCAGACGAUCUCCGGUUCUGCACUAGCUAGCUGGGAUGACAGCCUACAUUAUUAGGCGCGCAUCAUUGGAAUCCAGUACGUGUCCAACACGUACGUUUUCGUCGCAUGAGCGAAAGUAAAUCGCUACAUUUCCCUGUCUGUCCAGGAUCAACGAGACAGUACUUUUUUUUUAAUUAAGAAAAUUAUCCGGUCAUGAACAUUCACAAAUUUCUCAAUGUCUAUGACUAAAAAAACAAAUUCGACCACCUAGUCCGGAGGUAUACGAGUACUUAGACUCCACGCCUCAACACGAGAAUCAAAGAAAAGUAAGAAAGCAAGCGACUAAGAAAGAAAGCUAAAAAGACUAAGCUUAAAACUUCUUCUAUGCUCUUGCUUCCACCUGGCAAUAGGCCUUGUGCAGCAACUAAUCCCUCCCAUCUGUCAUUUUCUUAGAAACUUUAGAAGUUAGGAUGAUCCUGCUCGAUGGUCACCUUGUUUUCUUGUCGUGUAGAAACUGCACUUAGUCAAUCUCUACCAUGCACAUUGGCAGUACACUAAAACCGCCAUCCCACCAAGCUGAACGGGAACCGCCAUCUCAAGGAUCCCAAAAUGGCACCUCAAGAAGAAAGUAAUGCCAAGACUCCGCCGCCGCCCGAACCUGCUUUGGUUCUUCGAUUUUCACCUGGAAAAAGUUCCUGGGGUCAAGGUCCUCACUGCAAUGCCAUCAAGGAGCACGAUGCAUCAUGGCACCGUCGUCACUAGCACCGGUCAAGACUAGUCAUGGCUUUCGUCUGAGGACCUCGACCCUGACAACCACCAAACUUUGCUGGCUGGUGCCAAAGCCGGUCGCCCGCUGUCGCCGCCCUCUAUCUGCCGCCCUCCGUCCGCCACCGCCGCCAUAGAGCCGAGCCAUGCUCACCUGUAGCCGCCACGGGCCACGUUCGGGCGGAUUCACCGCGAGCUUCCCACGGUGGCGGUCACCGGAGGUGAAGACGCCUCCCCCCCGAGCUUAGCCCAAGAGAGGUAGGCUCCACGCGGGCCGCCACCGCCGCCGCCCUCACCGCUGUGGGCUGCGCCACCGCGGAUCUGAUUCUGGCCCCCGCUAACGCCCCCCAUGGAUCCACCAGGGGAGGCCCUAAAUGGCCUGGGCGACGCCGGAUCCAAGCUUGCCGGUGCCGGAUCUGGGCACCACCAGUCCAAGGGUGACGGCCACCGCUGGCAACCACCACCGCAGCAGCAGGAAAGAAGAGGGUGGGGGAGGUUGUGGAGGGGAAGAAGGUCUUUAGUGGGGAAGUUGAUGCGCCCACCGCCGCCCUCAUCGCGGUUGGACGGACUUCCGCCAGUGAGCUCCGGCGGCAGUGAGUCGGAAGGGAAGGAGGGAGCGGCGCUAGAGGUGAGGUGGUGGCGCCGCCUGAGUCGCCUGGCGAUGUGGGGGCCGAGGGGGGUCUCUCUGAUGUGACAGUACUUGACAGCUUCAUUUGUAAUGUUGUCAGUUGUCAGCAUCGAUUUGCAUUUUUUGUUGAGGAGGUACACAUGCUAUACGCAGCUAGCAAGGCUUUGUGUAGCAGGGCCUGUUUGCAUAACUGCAUUGGCACAGGUCAACUCGAUCCAUCUGAUCCAUGCCAUCUACUAGUGGCUUGCUCCAUUAGAGAUAAGUAAUAAAAUGAUAACAUCGAUACACAGUUCACGUGUUUUGAUUAUCACCAGCUUGUGCAGACCCACCGGUUGAUGAAGUAGCUAGCUUUAUACAGUGGGAGUUUAUAAUUCAUCAAGAGGAGAAAAGUAAGGGUCUGCCUCUACAUUCGAAGAUGUGCUGCCCAACUAACAAGGGUCACCUGAUGACCUAAUUUAAAAAAUAUGUGCAUUGCAUGUGCACAAUUACUAGUUAAAGAGAAAGCUGUAAUGGGAUGCAUGCUUUGCGCCUCAAUUUGGUCUCUGUCAGAAAGGUAUGUGGUUCUGAAGCCAGCAGUUUUCCCCCCUAUAAAAAGUGUCAAGUAAUCGGAAAAGAUGGUGCUUGUAGAGUUGUAGGGCAUGCAAAAUCACUUGGGCGACACAAUAGGGCGAUUAGUCGGCAUCACUGCCGCUGAUUUGUACCCCUCCGGUGUUCAAUACUUCGAUUAUUGGGCCCUUGAAAAGAUGAUGCCGCUCGGCGGCGGUGCCUGCUGGAUGUCCACGGCAACUGGUUCGUAUCAAAUCGAGGUGGUGCCUUUUCUAGCUUGUUCAGAUUUUCUAAGAGAUGCAGUCAUGCAGUCUGGAUAAACUUGCAAGUAGAUACUGCUCCACGUACAGCAAAGCUUUUUUACAGAGGUCCCUGAAGGGUCUAGGCCUCUGAUGGUCCAAAGUUAUUACCUACAGUAUAAUCAAGAUUUAGGGGGUGUUUCCGAACUAAAAAUUUAUAUCACAUCGAAUAUUCGAUAUUAAUUAAGAGGACUAAACAUGAGCUAAUUAUAAAACUAAUUACACAGAUGGAGGAUAAUUCACGAGACGAAUCUAUUAAGCCUAAUUAAUCCAUCAUUAGCACAUGUUUACUGUAGCACCAUAUUGUCAAAUCAUGAACUAAUUAGGUUUAAUAGAUUAGUCUCGCAAAUUAGUCUCCAUCUGUGCAAUUGGUUUUAUAAUUAGUCUAUGUUUAAUACUUCUAAUUUGAUUUUAUAAUUAGUCUAUGUUUAAUACUUCUAAUUAGUAUCUAAAUAUUCGAUGUGAUAGGAAUUUUAGGAGGUUCCAAAGAACCAAACACCUAAUUUGGUGCCGUAUGGAUGCUGCACGCAGUGGUCCAUAUAUGACUGUUGACCUAACUAACAAGGCUAGCUGAAGAUUUGAACGUAUCAUUUUGAUGCGAAUGGCAUCCACAUCUGGUUUAGGUUGUUGGGCCACUGUACCUUUAGGCCUUUGUAUAUUUUUAUAAAUAAGAAGACGAUCGAAGCGAUGAUGCCACCGAGGCGUCGUGGGCUUGGUGGCAUGAUGAACUUGAUGAGUACGUGGCAUGGGUAGAGCCCAUCUUGACAUCUACCUUGAAGAAGUAGAUUCUUCGUGUCCAAAUCCUUAACACAGAGGAAAGAUGGAUGAAAUUUAAAAAAGACAUCAUUAUCGGAAGCAAAUUGAUGAACAGAUAUCAAGUUCUUUUUAGCGGCAGGAACAUGUAGGACGUUUUUAAAAGAAAAAUCACGACUAGAGGUAUGCAAAAUAGUUGUAUCAAUAUGGUUGUUGUUAAUACCUGAGCUAUUAGCAGCUUGUAUCUGCUCUAGCCAUUGUACUUCUCCUUUGUUGUAAGCUUGUCGAGGGCGGCGUUGGUAAUAUGAUCAGUAGCUCCAGAAUCGAAGUACCAGUUUAUGUCAACACCAUAAGAAGGAACAGCAGCGGAAGCCAACUUCUGAGGUCCUGAUUUCAUGGGUUUGGCUCCACUGUCUCGUGGAGCAAGAUACUUCCUAUUAAAUCUGUACCAGCAAUCAUGCACGGUAUGUCCUGUGCGCUCACAGAGCUGACAGACAGGGCCAUCAUCAGAAUCAGGAGAAGGGCGGCCAGGGCCACCAAAACCGCGACCACCAGAGGCUUGACCGCGACAACGCCCGCGACCACCAGAAGCUAGCUUAGACCGCGACCACGCCCGCGAGACGCCAUAUUGGCCGACGAGUAGAUGCGAAAUUCCUCGGUGUGCUGUUGAGCCAGGCAUGCCUCAAAUGAGAGGCGCUGAGAGUAGAGAUCGCCUAGCGACAAAGAGUCCUUGAUGGAUACGGAGGAGACAAACAGAUUAUACUCAGAAUCCAUCCCAUUGACGAUGUAUCCAAUGAGUUCAUCAUCUUCAAUUCUCUUGCCAGCGGCUGCCAUCUCGUCAGCAAGUCCCUUAAUCUUGCUGUAAUAUGUUGAUGAGAUAAUCUCCCUUCUUCGCACAUGACAGUUGAGAGCGGAGCUGAAGCUUAGAUCAAGAUUGCGACGAGAUCAUCUCAGUAAUCGCCGUCCAUAAGGAGGCAGUAUGUUCAUGAGAAGAAACUUGUACCAGGACUUCCCUGGUCAUGGAGGACAAGAGGUACGAAAGAAGCUGUUGUUGCAUAAUCCAAGUCACGUAGGGCGGAUUUUCAACUUCUUCCACGACAUUGUCAGCUUUCUCAACAUGAAGAAUCGCCGGUGGUUGAGAUGACGAGCCUCUAGGAUGCCGAUGAGGCGUGGGUCACGAAUAGCAGGCAUGACUUGUGCUCGCCACACAAGAAAGUUAUCCCUUAUAAGUUCUCCAAAAUCUGGAUGCUGAACAUUGCCGAUGAAGCCGCCGAGGAGCUUGUCGACACCGUGAACGUCGACGAAAAAAAAGAUUGCUAUACGCAACUAAAUAUUUCUUUGGAGAAGAAGACUCUUAUACCAUAUGGAAUAUUAUAGAACGGCUUACCCUUGAGGGCGCCUGUCAUGUUCAUUACAUAGGACGGAAGAGGUCCUAUCCUGGAUGAACUACAAGAGUUCUCCGUAUAGGAGUAUUACAAGCAUAGGACUCAUGGUCCAGAUAGAAUCCUAGUACAUGUAUGUCUACGAUAUAUACUCUUGUUUAAAUGAUAUUAUUGCCCUUAGCUAUAGCUUGCACGCUGUGUCGACAUGAUCGGAGGGCAACCGAAGUUUGUAAUGAGUGUCUACAACCGAAGGACAUGUGUGUCAACUUGCAAGUGAGUGUACGGUUCAGUCAGGCUCUAUUAAGGUUCACUACAUCACACUGUCACAGGCUUAAUUACCGUCCGAACAAAUGUUGACAGUCGUCGAAACUAGUAAGUAACUUGCAAUUAGCAGGUCUCUUCUCGAACUAAUGCAGCUCAUGUGUGAACAGUGUAUGCAUGUCCUACUUCUACACGCGCUAGCUAGUACUGUGUAGCACAGUAGCAGCUCUGCUUUUAUCUUCCUUUUCCCUGCAAAAGGGGUGGACCUAGGAGCACACGUGCCUACUUGUAGGUAGCUGUUGUUGUGUUCACGUGCUGACAAGGAUCAAAAUAAAAGUGGAUAGUCAAAGUCAAACCAUAUCCCAACAGUACCGCUGGCCUAGCCUAGUCCGAGAGAUUCCAUGUUUGGUGUGGGGCAGACAGCAGGACCGGUAGGCCCUCACUGACUUAUUGCACAGAAACUCCAGCUGUAGCUAAAACAUCUGUAGUUGUAUAUUCUUUGAUGGAGCCGUGGCUAACACGGCUAUGGCUCCAGCUUAUUCGAUGAAGAAAUUUUUUUUCCUUCAGUUUGUCUGAUUAGAAAAAUAUUUUGUAAAACAACUUCUCCUAAAUGUGGAAAAGGAUGGAAUGUCUAUAAUACCCUUAUCUUUUUUUGUUUUCUUUUUCUUUUUCUCUUUUCUUCCUAUUUUCCCCUAUGUCUUUCUUUCCCCUUCUCUCCCUUUCUUAUCCACUCCUACCUUCUCCUUCUCCCCGUCGCCCAACUCUCUGCUCCUGCGCUCGCCGUUGCCCUCCGCUUGCUCCCCAGCCUCUCCGGCCCUCGCAGUGCUGCCCCGCUCUCCGACUCCACUGCGCCUGCGCCAUGCUAGCCAGCCUCCGAUCUCACCUCCUCCUCGCACGCGGCAUUCUCUGAGCCCACCUCCUUCCCCGCGCCGCCGGCACCUUUCGACCAAGCCUCCUUCCCCGUGCCGCCGAUGACUUCCGCCACGCCGUCUCCCCACGCCGCUGGCACCCUCCGGCACCACCAUGGAGGGGGCAAAUCAGGAACUUUGGUCCCACUGAUGAGAUGGAGCUGCGGGGACCUAGUUUCUUUGGCUUCGGUUCCAUCGAUUUGCUCAAGAGAGCCGGUGGCUCCCAUGGCGGAGCUGUUUUGCUCACGCCCCUUUGGUAUAGGGCUUCAAAGCUAGUGGUGAAGCCGGUUGGGAAGCCCCACCACUACUAGAAACCCCCCUAGCUACGCUAUAGUAGUAACGCACGCUAAAAGCGUCUCUACGUCAGCAUGUAAAGAUGUUUUUUAACACAAUUUCAAAAACAUGUCAGAGUGUUACGAUAUUAGACACGCUUAGAGUGUUAUUAGUCUUAUUAAGACAUUUUUAACACGCUAUUGAAGUCGGCUCAAAAUGACACGGAGUUAGACACGCUUUAAAGCAUCAUUAUCCACUAGACACAUUGUAAAACGUAUCAAACAAUUAUCUAUAGCCAGAUAAAGAUGCUUUUUGACUCGAUUAGAAAAACGUAUCGAAUUGAUACAAAGUUUGACAUAGACAGGUCGUAAAGCAUAUCAAAUAACCAUCAAUAGGCAUGUAAAGAUGAAUUUUGAUGCGAAAUGGAAAAUGACACUUAUUCAGAACAAGGAACCUAACAUUUGUAAUCAUUGGAGGAUGAAGAAACAAUAUAUUGGAAUUGUGAAAAAAAUACAACUAACGUCUAACUAAAUUUGUGUAACGUUGGCAAGAUGAAACACUCGAUUUUAAUUGGUAUUGCAGGCUAAAAAAUAUAUUAAAAUUAGCUGUGUACAACAGAAUUUUUUUUAAAUAUGAAUAAAAAAUGAUGCCUCCCAAAAUCGAACCCUGGUUGAUGGUUACAAGGACCUACAACCAUACCAUUGAGCUAGUAGAGAAUGUUCGAUGGGUCUCUAAAUACAACCGUAUUUUAUUGCACAUAAUCCUCCCAAUAAGUACAUGGCAUCCAGGCACGCACAGGUCAAAACGGCAAUCCUUCUCAACUCGGCAAAACACAUCUGUGUGCCAGGCAGCUGCCGCUGCCGCUGGGGGGCAUGCUGGAGGGUAGCAGCACGGCAACGACGUUGAGGUCCAGGUUCACCUUCCCACAUCCCUCUCCCUUUGUCGGGUUCAACUCCAUUGCGGGGCAUGGUGAAUCUUGAAUCUGAACAAAGCUAGCUCCACCCCUGUUUUUCUAUUUGAUAAUCAAAAUUAUAUCUUGCUCCAAUAAGCCCUGCAAUGAUACUGCAAUUUUUAUUAUUGUACAUCUAAUGCAUCAUUAUCCCCAUCCACUCUCUCGAAUUCUAAGCUACAAUGUUCAGUAAUAUAUAUGUCGCCUCAAGGAAUGAUUGGAAGCAAUCAGAGUAUAGAGCAGCAGCUGCCUCCUUUUCUGGCAAAAUUGAAUUGGUUUUUAAAACAAUCAUUUGUUGCAUAUGCAGGGUUCUUCUUUUUGCCUAGCUUGCAGAAUCCUACAAUUAUUUUGCAAAUUGCUUUGGAAUAAAUAAUUUUGGAAUUUGCUAAGUUUUAUUAGUAACAUUUAAUUGAGUUUAUUCGGUAGAAUAAAUUUGUGUUUGGCAGUAAUUCACCAAUCUAUACUGAUUAAGGAAUCUGUUUUCAUUUUAUUUUUGGAAUUAACCAUCACCUAAUGUUCAUCUUUGUCACAACUAUGUACUACAAAUUAAACCCGAUUUGUUUUAUUUAAAUUUUAUAGCUCCUUACAUAGGGUGAUGGAUUGAAGUUGGAUGAAAAAAGUAAGACAGGAGACUACAUACGAAGAUGGUGUUGAAAUUUUUUUGGCUUUUUGCUUACCGGGACCUUCCACAUGAUAGUGAGAUAUUGUUUCCAUGUAAAAAGUGCAAGAAUAGAAUAAACCAUUGUCGUGAUGAAGUUAGGACACAUCUGAGGUGUGACGGUAUUCUUCAAGGUUAUACUAUCUGGGUUCAUCAUGGUGAGAAUUAUGACAAACCAUCAGUUGCAUUUGUUAAUGUGCCAACACAACAUUGCCUUCUUUGGGUAUAGUACAAGGUCGCCAGGAUGGAGAAUCGGAUAGCAUGGAAGAACUGCUACAUGCUGCAUUUGGUAGGGCUGCAGGCUUGCCUCAAGGUGAAGCAGAUGAUUUUCAGUCAGGAUUUGCAGAUAUGGAACAUAAUGCCCCUAGGAUAUUGUGAAUCUAGCUCAAGAUGAUGAUUCGGGGAGGGAUCAGAAUAUAUAUGCAAGGGUCUUGAAGGAUGCACAUGUAAGGUUAUACCCUAGUUGUAAAUACUCAAGGCUGUCAUUUUUGGUCCACUUAUAUCACUUGAAGUGCUUAAAUGGUUGGUCACAAGAAUCGUUUACAGCACUACUGGGUCUACUAUUUGUUGCGCUACCUCCUGAAGCAAAUCUACCUAAGACAUUAUGAAGCGAAGAAAAUCAUCCGUGGAUUAGGUCUUGAUUAUGUGAAAAUCCAUGCUUUCCCCAAAGAUUGCGUGCUAUUUCGAGGUGAACAUGCCAAAAAGGAUGUUUGUCGUGUGUGCAAGAGCUCUUGUUGGAAAGUUGUUAAGGAGAAUGCCUCAUCAGCUAAACCUAAGGGGAAAAGAAAACCAGCAAAAGUGUUGUGGUAUUUUCGAUUGAUACCUAGGAUCCAAAGGUUAUUUUCAACUACCAAAACUUCAGAUGAUUUACAAUGGCAUGAGGAGGCCCGUACGAAAGAUGGAAAACUACGACAUCCAUAAGAUGGUGAAGCUUGGAAAGACUUUAAUGAUAGGCAUCAUGAAUUUGCAGAAGAUGCUCGUAAUGUACGCCUUGGUCUUGCAUGUGAUGGAUUUAACCCCUUUGGGAAUAAGAAUUUAAAGUGCAGCACAUGGCCAGUAAUGCUCGUUCCUUACAACCUACCACCUUGGAUCUACAUGAAGCAAACAGCUUUAAUGUUGUCAAUGAUCAUCCCUGGACCAGAUUCUCCAUGUAAUGAUGUGGAUGUAUAUUUGCAGCCCUUGAUCGAUGAGCUUUUACUAUUGUGGGAUGGAGUUGAAACAUUUGAUGCCUCUUUGAAAAAGGAAUUCCAUCUCCGAGCUGCACUAUUGUGGACUAUAAAUGAUUUUCCAGCAUUAACUUACCUAUAUGGAUGGAGCAUAGGUGGUACAUAUGCAUGUCCUUCUUGUGGUCCAACGAUAAAAUCAUUUUGCCUGAAGAAUGUUAAAAAGUCGUACUAUAUGGGUCAUCAUCGAUGGCUGCCAGGAAAUCACAGAUCCCGAAGGCAAAGGAUGCAGUUUGAUGGCUCGAUAGAGACUAAACUUGCACCUAAAACAAUGAGUGGCACUACUAUUCUUAAAAUGUUAGAAGGGAAAGAGUUUGUGCUAGGAAAAAAGGUGCGCACAACAAAGAAGGACAACAAGAAAGGUAAGAAUAAGGAAGUGGCGGCUGAAAGUGCUAAGAAACGCAAGCGUAAAACAAAAGGACAAAAUAAGAAGUCAGAUGGGAGUGGUGCUAAUGAGAAGAAUCCUAAAGAUUGGUUGAAAAAGAGGUCAAUUUUCUUUAAGCUACCACAUUGGGAACACAAUAGAUUAAGACACAAUCUAGACAUAAUGCACUUAGAGAAAAAUGUGAGUGACAACUUUAUCUCGACUUUGUUGGCUAUUUGUCAUAAAAUGAAGGAUGACCUUAAUGCAAGACUAGAUUUAGUUGAACUUGGAAGUUGAGAGGACCUUCAUCUUGUUGUAGAUAAUGAAGGAAAGCAGUCGCUUCCUGAUGCACCUUUUACCAUGUCUAGAGAGAAAAAGAAGAUCCUUUGCUCAAUAAACCUUAGGACCCCUGAUGGAUAUGCAUCAAACAUAUCUAGGUGUGUGAAUAUGAAAGACUUUACAUUGAGUGGACUAAACAUGACAAUCAUGUUUUACUACAUGACAUUCUUCCAGUGGCGCUCCGAUCCUGUUACCCUAGCAAAGAUGUCAUGAGGACAGUUGUUGAAUUAUCUAAUUUCUUCAAGAUGCUAUGCUCCAAGGUGAUAGAUGUGGAUGAGUUGGUAAAGCUUCAAGAGAGUAUUGUGAUGACACUAUGUGAUAUGGAGAGAACUUUCUUGCCAUCAUUCUUUACUGUAAGCGUGCAUUUGAUGGUGCAUUUGGUAGAAGAAGUUAAACUUGGUGGCCCUGUUCAGUACCGGUGGAUGUAUCCCAUGGAGAGGGUAUGCAACUACAUUUAAUUUCCACUGUCAUUGUAAAUAAUUCUUACAACUUACAUAUGUCCAUAAUUGCAUAUAGAUUUUUUUGUUUGACUAAAGGCACUUGUGAAGAAUAGUGCUCACCCAGAAGGAUCAAUUGCUGAAGGAUAUUGCAUGGAGGAGUGCCUGGAUUGUAGUUUGAGAUUUUUAGAAGGAACUACACAUUUUACUAGGCCAUUUAGAAAUCCUAAACCUUUUGAUGAAAAAAAAGGCAUGUACUUGUUUGAUAGUGCUGGUGAACCAAUUGGAAAGUGUACCGGUGUCAACCUUGAUAAGCAUCUUCUUGUUCAGGCACAUCGAUACGUCUUGCGACAUUGCGAUAAACUUGAGGAUUUACGCAGGUUUGUUCAUAUAGUGCUCCCUGUUAUGUUUAUUUUUAUAGUAACUUGAUGACAUGACACUGAUCCGAUUGUUGUAGAGAAUUCUUGGAAAAGGAGAAAAGCAAAAUGGGUCCAUCAACUAAUUUGACACCUUCCAUUGAGAAGUUGACCAAUGAACACUUACCUGAUUGGUUGGAGCAAAAGGAGUGCAAAUCUUAAAUUGAUGCAUUUUAGGCAUACCAUUAAAAGAUGGAAUGGAUAUAAUAUAAUUUCUUAUACAAACAGGUUAUCCUAGGGGAUGGAACAAGCAUCACGGCAAAGGUUAGAGCAUUGGCUGCAAAACCUAGCAGAUGUGGUGUGAGAUGCAGUGGUUACAAUAUUAAUGGUUUUAGGUUCCAUACUAUGAGCCAUGAGGCUUCAUGCUUGACACAAAAUAGUGGCAUAGUGAACAUCGCACAUGAUGGUGUGAAUUAUUAUGGCAAAUUAUCAGAUAUAAUUGAAUUGUCAUGCAAAGUACAAGGUAGUGCUUUUCAAAGGUGAAUGGUAUGAUGUUCAUCAUCAAGCUGAGUUAUGACAAGAUGAGUUUGGAUUCACCCUUGUGAUUUUUUCUUGAAAGAUACACACAGGACAAAAAUUAGAGCAUGAUCCUUUUGUCUUCUCUUCACAAGUGCAGUAAGUCUUUUAUGUCCAAGAUCCAAAAGCUGAAGCAUGGCACAACGUGGUGAGAGUUAUGAUCAUUUUGACAUGGGUGCUGAAUUGUUGGUAGAUGAAACAGAUUAGAACAAUAUAGUGGACAUCCUACAUAGUUCAACAAUAGGACUUGCUCCAGCUUCUGUUGUUCUAAUUGAACUUGCAUUUUGUAUCUCUAAAUUAUCUACAACUUUUUUAAUGGAACUAAGUGAAGCGAAAACCCUGAUCAUCUUGGUGAUUGAAUGUUGCACCCCUUCGGUGAUUUUUGUGUCUCUUGUUGCAUCACAGAUCUCUAUUGUUGUAUCCCUUUGGAAUUGUUGCAUUGGAGGUCUGGAGCAUCUCUGUAAUUUGUACGAUGUAAAUUUGGCUAACAUUUCACAAUGACAAUAAAUAUACUCAAACGUAUACUUGGCAUUUAACAUAUUCCAUAGCACACAUGCAUCCAUAUCCCACUUAACAUUCUAUCCAAAAGGCCCAUGCACAUGGCCAGUCCAAAAGACCAUGACAGAUAGGAUGGCACUAGAGGUUCCAGCAUGGAUUAUCUAAUUUAUUUACAGACCAAACAAAACACUUUGUCAAAACGAUUAGAAUUUCUAUAACUACCGAAAUCACAUGUUAGCUCAAUGGUUUGUCCGGUGCUUUGGAACUUGUAGCCUGCGGUUCGAUUCAGUGAUAUACAAAAUUUUGACAUUUUUUUAUUUUCCUAAUUUUUUGACAGUUUUUUAUUCCUAAUUUUUUGGCUCGAAUUUUGACAUUUUUUUAUUUUCCUAAUUUUUUGACAAUUUUUUAUUCCUAAUUUUUUGCCGAGCCAGGUUUAUACAGUUACAAUAUAUAUUUUCUUAAGUUCUAACACAAUGUGCAAAAGUGAAUGAUAUAGGUUUCAAUCACAAAUAAAAAGUUAAGUGUAUCAUUAGCUUGGUACAUGACAAUCUUAUAUGGUUUCAUCCCGCAACGGUUAUAAAUAUUAGGUGAUAUAAACUAUAAUAUAAAGGUUUGUUAUAAACAUUAGGUGAUAUAAAAUAUAUAAAGGCCUAUAUGGUUUCAUCCCGCAAUGGUUAUAAACAUUAGGUGAUAUAAAAUAUAAAGGUCUAUAUGGUUUCAUCCCACAAUGGUGAUAAGAUUUCAUCAUCUAAAGAAAAGCAUAUAUAAAUGACAAUCAAUCGAGUUUCCAUUUCUCUGUGGUGUACUCUUCUUCUCAAAUAGUUUGCCAAUGCUAAUAUGAAGUCCUAUUCUUCCAAAUGAGUUUGAAUACGACAAUCUCUUUAUGUUGGCCAUUCAUUUUCUUCAUUGUUGAAAAGUUAUGAGUACUCAAUAACUUAUUAAUUAUCCAUUUUUUUUAAAUAUAUGUCAAUUAUAUUUUUACAAAAUUUCCAAAGCUUGCAAAUGAAAUGUCAUAAUAUAUGUACCAAUGAUCAGUGAUUAUUUAAAUUAGAAAGAGAUUACAUCUAAAUAGAAAUUUUGUUGUCCAACUUGCCGCCUAAAACAAUUCACUUGGCGCUUAAUAGCCCGCACAUCCUGGGAUUAGAGAACAAAUCGCAUCCCUUAACCUCCCCACCUCCGCAUUAACCUCCCGGUCUCCUCACCUCCCUCCUGAAUCUCGCUAGGCAGUCCUCCUCCACCGGUUCUAGCCGCCUUGCCCUCGCUGCAAAUCCAAUGCCCCCAGCCUCCUGUCGCUGUCGUCAACCUUCUAAAACUUGUGAGCAUAUCUUCACCUUCCUCCCGUCGCUGCCGUCAGCCUUCUGAAACCAUGGGUCACGAUUCAACCAUCGGCAUUCACUUGGUCAUGCGGUCGGCAGGGUGCGAGGCGUAGUGGCAAAGGAUCCCAGGACGUCCAGAUAACCUACAACAACAAGGGAGACCAGGACGUCCAGAUCACUUGCAGCAACAACAACGCCAGGACGUCCAGAUCACCUGCAGCGGCUAGGAGCCAGGACGUCGCAAGGACCAACUAUCAGGUACUUAUUAGAUCGAAUUUGUUUUUCCUCCUACAUGCAACCACUUGAUUAGUUUGGUAAUUAGGGCUAAUCUCUUCGGUAGGAUGUGCUGAUUCCUGAGGGGUUGGCACUUACUUUACGGCCUUGUAGAUUCCAUCUAAUCAAGUUGAGUAAUAGAUGGCUUUAGAUAAUUUCAGUUUCUUUCCAUGCAGUUCUUAAACACUGAAUUUGGUAGAACAAUUUAGGAGAUGUCUGAUUGGAUAUUUUUCCUUGGAGUAUUCAGUUUCAAAUGAAUGCUAGUACUAGUUAGGUCAUGUUUCCUACUUUGAUGUAAUUUAGUAGUUUAGGCUUUGACAUCUGAAAUCUGAAACAAAAUUAACAUUAAAAUGAAUCAGGAUUACAGAUCUUGUUGUUUGACUAGAUGAAUUGGGUAAGACAGGAUGCGCUGUGGUCGCUAUUUAGAGUCUGAUGUCCCAAAUUAUUAGUAGGAACUGAUUAUUUCAUACCUGAUAAUUGAAUUAUAAAAUUCCUAUUUUCUUACUGUAUUGCUGCCAAUUUGUGCGGCUGCCUUUUGCCUUGUGAGAGAUAAUUCACCAACCUACAUACUCUCUAAUGCUCUAAAAUCUGAAUGACUGAAUCUGAAAUUAAAUUAAUGUGUGCGCGCACUUUCAGAUUACGCUAAACUAUAAGUGCUGAUCUUGGUACCCAUGUAUAUGCAGAAAAAAUCAUGGUAAGACCACUUCAAAGGUUAAGGAACUUGAACCUUGAAGAAGUAGAGGAUCCAGAACCUAUUGAGAAUGGGCAGGAUAACUUAGAGAGAAUGAGAAUGGGGAUGACAACUUAGCAGAGAAUGAGAACGAUGAUGACUUACAGGGUCCUCCUGAUGUUGAUAGCUUAUUAGCCCGCCUGCCACGCCACCAUCCACGAACCCCCAUUAAGAUAAUAUGUAAGUUUCCUAAUUUUUUCCUUGCAUAUCCAAAUGCAGUAUCAAAUCAAUCUAUUUCAUAUAUGUAGAGCCAAAUGGAGAGGUCAGAUAAGUUUUAGGGGAUUUCAGAGUUUCAAAUCUAGUGGAUUAGAAGGAGGAAAGGUAAUUGUAGGGAUCGAUGAAAAUGGUGUUCCAAAUGAAAAGUCAGCCUCCAUUCUUGGUCAGUACCUUGGACAGACAACAAAAAAACCAUCAUUAGCUCCUUUACACAUUGAAAGAUGGGACAAUCCUUUGUUCAAUACUCACAAGCAACAAAUAAUCAAGGAUGUGGUGGUAAAAUUAAUCUUACCAGUUCAAGCAAGUACCUCAAUUUUCAUCCAUCUAGUAACAUUUACCUCUACUCUUUAUAGAAACACUGGGUGCUAAGAACUGUUAGCAAUAGGUGGUGAUCCUACAAAUCAAAGUUGAAGAAAUAAUAUUUUAAUCGUGAAGAGAGAUCUCUAGAUGAAAUCAUAAACUAGAAACCAAACAAUGUGAAUGAACUUCAAUGGAAAGCUCUUGUUGGAUUUUGGUGUCGAGAACCACACAAGGUGCCAUCCUUUUACGUAACAUUUAUAUCCAAUUUAAAAGCAAUGAGUGUGACAAACUCUAGAAUCGCAAAAGAACAGAAGAAUACACACACGUCAGGAAGAAAAAGCCAUGCUAGGCUGAAAAAAAGAUGGUCAAAUAUAUUCAUCCAAUGUUAUUUAUUAUAUUCACUAUCAUCUAAUUCAGAUCUGUAAUGAGCCUCAAGUUACUCUGUUGUGCAGGAAGAUAACCAGAAAAGGAAGGUUCAUAGGCUAGAAUUAUGGGAGGCUGCUCAUAAGAAAAAGAAUGGAAGAUACAUUACCCACAAAGUGGAUGCAAUAAUGGUACCUUUUCUGAUCCUAAGCAUUUAUGUUCGAUUUGAAAUUCUAUUUAUCAUUCUGUGACCUUCCACUAUUUUUAUUUCUAUAGAAUGCGUCAUAUGAGGAAUUAGAAAAAAAGGCAACUAAACAACAAUGGUAAUCUUUUAGCUCAAGAUUUUAAUGAGGUGUUCAGUGAGAUAGUUGCUAAGGAGUUAAAAGCACGUGGGUACUAUGAUGAUAACUACUGGAGUGAAGUUUUAGUGUCUCAAGGUGUAACUUUUGUCACUCAAACUGGGGAAGAAAGAAGGUACCAAGAGAAAGUAAAUGCAAUGGAGAAUAAGGUGCAACACAUGGGUGGUUUCAUGAAGCACUGGCUUGGUUUCAUGUUAAAAAAGUUUCCUGAAGAGGAUUUCAUAAAGUAAGCAUCUAUUCGACUUGCCAUAUAUAUUUUUACCUUCUGCCUGGUAGUGUUGGUGACUUGUCUGUUAGUGACCAUGUUUUGUUAGGCUACAUGCUGUUCAGAACUUGUUUGCUCCCUCAUUUGUUGUAUUGCACAUGUACAUAUCUACUCUACUUUUAGCCUCAAGUCAUGCUAUGCUUGUAUUCUACUGUACUUAUCUCCCUACUAGGAUCUAAAAGAAUAAAUGAAUAGAGAAAUCUCAUACCUCAAAACAAAGAAAAAAA